rnacentral:misc_RNA from 1 species
AACGCACCUUGCGCUCCUUGGUAUUCCGAGGAGCAUGCCUGUUUGAGUGUCGUGAAAUUAUCAACUCUCUUACUUUAUUGUGAGAUGAGCUUGGACUUGGGGAUUGCUGGUGGUAAGUCAGCUUCUCUUGAAUGCAUUAGCUGGAAUUUAGUUCGCAGCAUAUAUGCGGUGUGAUAAUGUCGUCACUGUGUAGCUCGAAUUGUCUGGCUUCUAAUCGUCCUUCACGGGACAAUUUGAUCAUUUUGACCUCAAAUCAGGUAGGACUACCCGCUGAACUUAA